UGAAGGAAAUCACACCGGUGUACUAUGAUGAUGUCAUUACUGAUGGACUGAAGCCAGAUCGUGAGACAGAAGAAACACCGGAGAGCUAUGAUGAUGUCAUGACAAGCGGAUGCAACACUGAUAUAAAAAAAGUGGAUGCACCAGAGAAUUAUGAUGAUGUCAUCAUUAAUAGACCUAGCUCUCAAGAGGUAAAAGAGGGAGUUCAGGAGGAGUAUGAUGAUGUGAUGAGUGUCAGUGAAGAUGUGAAAAACCUGUUGGAUUAUGAUGAUGUGGAGUCAAACAAAGAAGUGGGGCAUUCGGCUCAGUGAUCAUCCAUUGCCUCGGUUCAACAAAUCUGAACAAAGUUUGAAUGAUAUUGUUAUUGAUGUCAAAUCUCAGGUUUUUAUA